UACUUAUCUGAGCAUCUGCUGUGGACCAGGCAUGUCCUAGAAGCUGGGAGCUCAGAGUCUGCAGAACAGGAAGAAGUUCCUGGGUCAGCAGGGCACCACUCCCAGCAACACUCCCACCCGCUCAAAGAGACUCUCCCAGGGUGGAGUGCAGCAGAGCUGUCAGACCACCUGCCCACGCCCAAGCACACCCAACAAACACGUCCGGGGCUGGACGGGUAAACACUGUCCAGGGCAUGAAGAGUCAGCGCUCCUCCCUCUCGCUAUACUCAGGAGACAGCUUGAGUGGAGCCAAAGCCCCCACACUCUUCCUGGAAGGUUGCCGAGAGCCAGAUGGUAUCUUCAGGAGAUGGGCAUCAGCACUGGUCCCACGCAAAUGGGAAGUGAGACCCCAGGCCAGUUGGCCGGAGCUCCGGCAGCAGUGAGACUAUCCUGGGCAAGUCUGGGAGGAGCCAAGAGCUGUGGAGGACGCUGGGCCAUGUGUCUAUGUGUCUGGCUGUCUAGAGGGUUUCUGCAGCUGUGUGAAUGCAGCUCUGAGGGAAGUGGGCAGCCCAUUGGCACCCUGAGGGCCUUCCCCACCCAGUUGAGCACCGGACUCAUGGCCAGAAUGGGUGAGUGGUGCCACUCAGCCCAGGCGUCUGUCCCCAGCCUCCCUUAGUGGGGGUGUUCACCACAAGAGAUAACAAGAAGGUGUCAAGAGUGGCCAGGGUCUUGGGAGGGGGUGGUGGGACAGGAUGGAGUUCACUGAGGCAGCGUGUUCAGUGAUGGAGGCUCCAAAGGACAUUUUGACAUGAAUUUUAUCAUUAAUGGGAUAAUGAUUUAUCAUUAAGAGAUGUCCCAGGCACCGUAGGGUGCUGACCAGUGUCCCUGGCUAUGACCUGCUAGGUGCCAGUAGCAUCUCCAAACGUGCAAAUGUGACAAGCAAGAAUGUCACCCUGGUUGAGAAUAAUUAACUUAAAGAAAUCAGUACAAAAUUUUGGUCCUAAGCAAAGCAAGUUACAGAGACACAGGAACAAGGUUUCAGCUUGUACAGGAGAGGACAGUGCAUGAGGGAGGGUCAGUGUGUUUGUAACCCAGAGAACCAGCGGGAAUCUCACACCAAACUGUGACACCGGGUGUCAGGAGACAGAGGGAAGGCAAAGAACGCAAGAAGAUUCUUUUUGCAAAGUGUCUGUGAUGAGAUAGCAUGUAUCUUAUGCAUGUGAAAUUAAACACAUGGGUGGUCUAGACGGCUGUAGACAGGGGUGUCCCUCGGGAUGCCAGUGGGGUGCGAUGGGGUGGUGAGAACUUAGGUGAAGGAUGAGAGUCUUCUGUCUCUCCUCUCUGUGUGCCAAAAACACAAUUUGAUUCUAAAAUGGACAGUCCUGGGGUUAGAAAAGCAUGUAUUUUCCUGUACUUUCUGUAUAAUGCUUUUUUUAUUUUGAGACUCAACUAUGUCAUCCUCAAUAGAGUGUGAUGACAUCACAGCUCACAGCAACCUCAAACUUUUGGGCUUAAGUGAUUCUCUUGCCUCAGCCUCCCAAGUAGCUGGGAUUACAGGUUUCCACCACAAUACCUGGCUAUUUUGUUAUUGUUGUUGUUGUUGUAGUUGUC